GAAAUAUAAAAAUUUAAGCUUCUAACUUAAGAAUUAAUGAAAAAAUUAAUCAUUAAUAUUUCU
rnacentral:tRNA from 1 species